ensembl:snRNA U6 U6 spliceosomal RNA
GUGUUCACUUCAGCAACACAUAUACUAAAAUUGGAACAAUACAGAGAAGAUUAGUAUGGCCCCCAUGCCAGGAUGACACGGAAAUUGGUGAAGUAUUCCAUAUUUUU